AGAGAAAAGGAGGGUGACCUUGAGCAAGCCACUGGGCCUCACCUCACAUCUCCCUCCUCCCAAAGGCGGGGGCAGCUCCAGCCAAUCCUGAACCCGCAGCCCUGCCAGACAGACUGGGACUGUCCCAAGCUCUGGCCCACGCGAGGCUGGCCUCUGCGGUGUGGUGCCUGGGACCCCGGCCAGGCCCUCAGUGGCCACAGCCAAGGGGCUAAGCUUGGGGAGGGAGCACUGUGAAGAGGCUGAGAAGGUGACAGAGGUGACAGUCUGGUGCUUGGCACCGCCUCAGCACUGCAGCCUCGUGAGGAGAGGGCUAAAGGAGAUCAUCCACUGCUCUGGAUUCCUGCCUUCAGUCUGAUCUCUCCAAUCUAUCAUGUACACGUAGCUGGACACGGAUUCUUAAAGACUGCUUUGAUCAUGUUCCCCCCACAACCACCUCCUGCUCAAUAAACUUCCAUGGCUCCCUAUCGCCUUCUGAGCAAAUCUGGACCUUCUUCUCCUCUCCUGGCCCAGUACUCAAGCGCUUUCUAGCCUG